UACGUAGGGAGCAAGCGUUGUCCGGAAUCAUUGGGCGUAAAGCGCGCGUAGGUGGCCUCAUAAGUCCGCUGUGAAAGUCAAAGGCUCAACCUUUGAAAGCCGGUGGAUACUGUGAGGCUAGAGUACGGAAGAGGCGAGUGGAAUUCCUGGUGUAGCGGUGAAAUGCGCAGAUAUCAGGAGGAACACCAAUGGCGAAGGCAGCACUCUGGGACGUGACUGACGCUGAGACGCGAAAGCGUGGGGAGCAAACAGG
rnacentral:rRNA from 1 species